rnacentral:rRNA from 1 species
GACGAACGCUGGUGGCGUGGAUUAGGCAUGCAAGUCGAACGGUAUCAUCCUUUCGGGGGUGAGAGAGUGGCGAACUGGUGAGUAACACGUAGGUUAUCUACCCUCAAGACGGGGACAACCCAGGGAAACUUGGGCUAAUACCGGAUGUGAGCAACUUUUAGUUGUUUGAAAGGUGGCGUAAGCUGUCGCUUGGGGAUGAGCCUGCGUCCUAUUAGUUAGUUGGUGAGGUAACGGCUCACCUAGGCAAUGAUAGGUAGGCGGCCUUAACGGGUGGUCGCCCACACUGGGAUUGAGAUACGGCCCAGACUCCUACGGGAGGCAGCAGUCGAGAAUAGUCUACAAUGGUCGGAAGACUGAUAGUGCGACGCCGCGUGAACGAUGAAUCCCUUCGGGGUGUAAAGUUCUUUUAUAUGUGAGCAGUGCUUCUUAUAUUAACAGUAUGGGGAGAGAGAUAUUAGCAUAUGAAUAAGCAACGGCUAACUCCGUGCCAGCAGCCGCGGUAAACU